rnacentral:rRNA from 1 species
GACGAACGCUGGCGGCGUGCCUAAUACAUGCAAGUCGAGCGGAAUGAAGAAGAAGCUUGCUUCUUCUGAUUUUAGCGGCGGACGGGUGAGUAACACGUGGGCAACCUACCUUGUAGAUUGGGAUAACUCCGGGAAACCGGGGCUAAUACCGAAUAAUCCAUUUUGCUUCAUGGCGAGAUGUUAAAAGGCGGCUUCGGCUGUCACUACGAGAUGGGCCCGCGGCGCAUUAGCUAGUUGGUAGGGUAAUGGCCUACCAAGGCGACGAUGCGUAGCCGACCUGAGAGGGUGAUCGGCCACACUGGGACUGAGACACGGCCCAGACUCCUACGGGAGGCAGCAGUAGGGAAUCUUCCACAAUGGACGAAAGUCUGAUGGAGCAACGCCGCGUGAGUGAAGAAGGUUUUCGGAUCGUAAAACUCUGUUGUAAGGGAAGAACACGUACGAGAGUAACUGCUCGUACCUUGACGGUACCUUAUUAGGAAGCCACGGCUAACUACGUG